UUGUGGAGGAGGACGCCGAAGGUGGGGCUAAUGACUGGGGUGAAGUCGUAACAAGGUAGCCGUACCGGAAGGUGCGGCUGGAUCACCUCCUAACAGGGAGACAACAAAAUGUUUAAUAUUAUUAUUUUGUCACCUUAGGUCGAUCGGUACCUCACGUUCUUGAUUUAUUAAGAAUUUCAUUUCCUAAGUUUUUCUAGGUCACACCCAUUAUUUUUCCUGGGCCAUUAGCUCAGGUGGUUAGAGCGCACCCCUGAUAAGGGUGAGGUCCCUGGUUCAAGUCCAGGAUGGCCCAUAUCUCUAUGUUGGGGGUAUAGCUCAGUUGGUAGAGCGCCUGCUUUGCAAGCAGGAUGUCAGCGGUUCGAGUCCGCUUACCUCCACUGAUUACCACCUCUUACAUAUUCGGUAAAAAGGAAAUGUUUUGAGUUGUGAUCAAGUUCUGAACGAAUCUAGCUUCCUAAUUUAACUAUUAAGAUGCUGGACUCAUUGAAUUAAUUUCAUUGUUUUCAGAGAACCUUGACAACUGCAUAGAUUAUUUUUAAAGACAAUAAGCAUUUUUAAUGAUGCAGAUUUAUUAUUUUUGCUAAUGCAUUAAUAACAAUUCUAUUAAGCUGAUGCUUCAAUUUUGAAGUUAUUGGUCAAGCUACAA
rnacentral:misc_RNA from 1 species